CAUUAUCGUACAACCGAGGUGCAAGGGCUGUCGCUGACCUCCAAAGGUUGUGCACGCCCGAGCGCUCUCACACAAUCCAUCUCACACCCCUUUGUGCAUCACCGCGAGGGUCCCAGUGGCUGUAACGGCCCCAAGGUGGGAAUGCGAGGCGAUGUUUUCCCCAACGGAGUCCCGUGCUCGUGCGCCGAGUUCAAGACUGUCCCCUCCAGAAAACUUUGGUGUCCAUCGUCCCUCACAGCGUAGGCUGUGGUCGGAUUUGGAGUAAUCGGCCCUUGUCUAGCCAGGGAAGCAAUUCCGCAGCUAGCAGGACUCACCGAGUUGGUCUUAGGAGAUCAGGGCACGUCAUCUGUCGCGCGGGUGCGCCGUGUCCCUCGUAGACCUUUAUACCUCGCGUUUUCACACAAACCUCUGAUACAGUGUAGAAUGUUAUUUUACCUUUUGCGGUCACACGCAAUCAAUACAACUUUCAACAACGGAUCUCUUGGCUCUCGCAUCGAUGAAGAACGCAGCGAAAUGCGAUAC
rnacentral:misc_RNA from 1 species